GAGAGGGUUGCAGCACCACUUUUGUUCGAGGGCACACAAGGACGGGGCUUUUAAAGUCUGUUACCAUGAAAAACACAAGGAAAUUGAUAAUCCUGGGGUUAGUUAUAUACAGUAACAAAGACACUUCGUUACGCAAUUAAAAACGAGAAAAUGAAAUGUGUACCACAUCAUUAUGCAGUGGUUUUUCAUUCAUGGGGCAUGCACUGCCCCAAAUUGGGUCCAGAGCCCGUCUAAUGCAUGUAAUGAAGAUUGAACUGUACCUUGUAUGCACAAGACUUGUGAAAUAAGGUCACGUAUACAGCUAAAACAGAGCUCACAUGCUAAAAAGAUUUGUUUUUCCAACUCUAGUAGUUUGUCCGAUAAGGAGAGAUUACUACUUCUAAUCUUGGUUUACCUAUGUCCUUAGCCUUCGUUAGGGCCACCUUGAUACAACCACAAUAGAUCAAGCAAUUUUCCAUCUUUUCAGAGGUUAACAGGCACUCUUAACUUUUUUUUUUUUUUUUUAACCUUUGAAGUCCUGGUCUGCAUUGUUUUGUGUUUUAUAUGUCUUUAAAAGCAGUAGGCAAAAUGUUGGAAGGCUGCCAUAACCAGGGCUCCAUUUUACCACCGGUCCAGCGCGAUUGCCAAGAAGCAUGCUUCCAAUGACAGCCGCAUUGGCUGCACCCUGCAGUUUGCUUUCCACUGAAUGUGAAAGAAUCCCAUUUGACCAGUCCUGCAGGACAUUGCCACAGACAAAUAAUGUCCUCCGUGACACAUUAACCAUAGCAUCUGCCAAGCAAGAGCUUCAUCAAGGGCAAAAUAAUAUGACAAAGAGGACGUCAAAAGACAAACAUCAAUGCCAUUCAUCAUAAAGUAAAUAUAUUACCUAUAAAUGGUAGUAUAUUCUCAACUUUUUUCAGCCUGUGAAUCUACAUAGACUACAGUUGGGAUCAGACGGCAAAAAUGGCUGCAGAGAAUUGUCAUCCAUAGCUUUUCUGGAAGUAAUUGGAAAACCGAGCAACUAAGUGGUGCAAAAAGUAGAGUAUUCAAAUAGCAGUGUAACUUGAAGUUUGUUGCAAGAAGCCUCAUAGAACAGAAGUGUUCAGUUUGAAGAGCUUUGACCUUUAAAAUUAUUUAAUUCCCUAGUAUUGCUAUGCAAUAGAACCCAUGAAGUGCUAUCAGAAUAUGGGUUUGCCAAAUUAGAAGAUGUGUCAGGAAGCUCAUUAAAAACAUGAUUGCAAAGAAGACAUGACAAGUGGAAUCAGAGGUUGAAAACAAUGUAUUAAGACAUAGUAAACUGACAAGAGUCUAUAAUUAGGAUCUGUAAUCCUAUAGUUCUUAAUCCUGUACAUGACUGUACUUGGCAUGACAAUCUGCUGUCUUAACCAGAUUAGACAUCUUGCAUUUCAAGAAAUAAAAGGAAUACAGUUUCAAAGACA
rnacentral:lncRNA from 1 species